AUUGAACGCUGGCGGCAUGCUUUACACAUGCAAGUCGAACGGUAACAGGGAGCUUGCUCCGCUGACGAGUGGCGAACGGGUGAGUAAUGCGUCGGAACGUGCCGAGUAGUGGGGGAUAACGCAUCGAGAGGUGUGCUAAUACCGCAUACGUACUGAGGUAGAAAGUGGGGGACCUUCGGGCCUCACGCUAUUCGAGCGGCCGACGUCUGAUUAGCUAGUUGGCGAGGUAAAGGCUCACCAAGGCGACGAUCAGUAGCGGGUCUGAGAGGAUGCGCAGCCACACUGGGACUGAGACACGGCCCAGACUCCUACGGGAGGCAGCAGUGGGGAAUUUUGGACAAUGGGCGCAAGCCUGAUCCAGCCAUGCCGCGCGUCUGAAGAAGGCCUUCGGGUUGUAAAGGACUUUUGUCCGGGAGCAAAUGCUGGUGGCUAACAUCCACCGGAGCUGAGAGUACCGGAAGAAUAAGCACCGGCUAACUACGUGCCAGCCGCCGCCGUAACAC
rnacentral:rRNA from 1 species